CCAACGAUAAAAAUUGUUGAGUUUCCGCUAACGUUCCAGAAAAAAAUAGGGUAGGUAGGUAGGAAAUAAAUUUUAUUUUUUUUUAAAAUUUUAUUUUUUCAAAGUAUGCAAAAACAUUGAAAACUCUUAACAAGUGUAGUAUAGGAAGGAGGAGAAAAUCUUUGGUUGUACCGGGAAUCGAACCCGGGACCCCUGCAUUACUAGGCAGGUGCUCUAACCACUGAGCUAUCCAGUCCGUAUAGCCCUAAUUACUACAUUCCUCCCUCCUUAAGAUCAAUUAUAAUUGUCUUUCAAUAUCAACCCAGGUUCUUUUCGCCCCUGACAGGCCAACCUGCACCACCAGGGGUGGUCAACGGCACCAAAUGUAGUAUGGGAAGGAGAAAAUCUUUGGCUGGACCCCUGCAUUCCUAGUCAGGUGCUCUAACCACUGAGCUAUCCAGGCCGAUAUCCACGGUCCGUAUAGCCCCAAUUACUGCACAAGUUAAAUGUUCUAUUGAAUGUAAAACUUAUACGGUACCAAUUUUGAUGCACCAGAUGCACAUUUCAACAAAUAAUGUCUCUUCAGUGAUGCUCAACCGAAAUGUUUGAAAUCCGAAAUAACUAUGAAGUUUUAGAGCUAAAUAUAGCCAAAAACAGCGUGCCAAAAAAGUGGAGCCAAAUUCGUCCAAGGAUAAGAGCUAUGCAUGAGGGAGAUAAUCCUUAAUUUUGAAAUGAAUUUCAAAAUUUUAUAACAGCAAUUAAAUAUACAUCCGUAUUUUCAAGCUAGUAACGAAGUACUUAGCUACUGGGCUGUAGAGACCCUCGGGGACUAACAGUCCACCAGCAGAGGCCUCGACCCAGGGGUCAUAAUGUAAAACUUAUACGGUACCAAUUUUGAUGCACCAGAUGCGCAUUUCGACAAAUAAUGUCUCUUCAGUGAUGCUCAACCGAAAUGUUAUACUUUCAAAAUAAAAUUUUGCUUAAAUUGCAUUGCAAAUAAACUUUCAAUCAUAACAUUUCACCCGUUAUUGGCUGAGGAUAUUUCCAGAUGUUUUAUAAGAAACUAUAUUUUUCAAUGAAACAUAUCUAGCAUAAAACACAAAAGUUAACUCCUCUAUGCCACUAUGCUCUACAAGUACCAGAUAUAUUGUUUCUACAUUUAGAUUGGUUGUCAUAGGUCAGGAAUACUUCUAUUGGAUAUGUUUGACAAGAAAAUAAUGUGGUGGUUUUGAAAAAAUAUAUUAAAUCAUCACCAAAAUAUCAACAUCAUUAACAUAUUUUAAGUUUAUUAAUACAUUUCUGAAUGUAUUUUCACUAUCUAAAUGGAACAAGGGUAGGAAGACAGUCUGGGCAGAUCCCACUUAUCCUAAUGGGAUCCAACUCUCUUCCAGCUAAAACUUUUUACCGGACAUAAAUUUUUAUUUUAAAAACAAUCUGCACAUCUUUUUUUCCUCUCGGCUCUCACCAGCCAUCAACCUGGAUGCGCUCACUGCUUUAUUUGCGGUCUUUUUCCAUAGUGUUUUCAGUUAGAACUGCAGCAGAAACCAAGGAUGUGCAUACAAAUUUGACAGACUGGACAUUCAUGUCUGUCACUCUGCAUCAUGACCCCCAUAUAAAACUAGGGUCCCCGUGUAUACACAGUAAUGCCCGCUGAAACGAUAGCAUAAGACAGUGCAUGGCUAUAAAUAGCCACCGUCUAAAAACAACAUAGGAGUUGGCAAUUUUAACAAAAGAAAGUCUUCUAUGAAAACAUGACACUUGGCAGAGUCUCUCGACCGUCUGUUAACUUCAAUUGUUAAAUCACCGUUGCGUGAGCACGCAUGGAGGUACUAGCCACUAGGCACUAUCAAACUUCCGUUAUAUAAGCCGUCUCCUGCAAAGAACGAUAACUCGUGCGUAGGGGCAAUAACCUUUACCGUAUUUCCGGUUGCAAGAACGUCGAGCCCUACUUUCGCUAUAGCCGCGCGCUAUUCUCUCGAGCCCUCUACAGACAAGAAAAUGUCGUGUGAGUCGUAGUCUACAUGCUGUACAAAUUUCAGGAGGAUGAAUGUUCACAGAGUCACUGUCAAUGUCAAUAUAAUAAAGGGAGGUGAUUGCAGCUUUGAAGUUUUCUUUGGGAUGAGACUUGGAAUUAAUGGGAAUUUUCACUCCACAGAGCCUACACAUACACUUUAACUUUAAUUCAUGCUCCAUUUCUGUAGAAAAAAUAAAGUUUUGAAUAGAU